CAGGGAAUAGUUUAAAUAGAAUGUCAGCUUUGGGUGUUGAUGGUGGAGCUAUUGUUUCUUCCUUGA
rnacentral:tRNA from 2 species